UAACAUAAAAACACCAAGCAUGAAUAAAUCAAAACAAAAGUAUCAAAAUAAUUCAGUUAGUAUAGUGGCAUCCAGACAACCAUUAUCAUCACCAAUAGAUUCAUCUUUAGGAGAUACAGUAAAAAGAAUCCUAAAUGUGGUUUUAAAAAUAAGGUAUGACUUAGAAACUUUGUCCCAAAAACAACACCAUAUAGACCGAAUAAUUAAUGACAUGAAUUUAAAAAUACAAAAUAAUGAAACAAUUACAACAGUCAUAUAUUCUAACCAAGUAGACGAUUGUGAUUCUUCACUUCCUAUUUCCAUGAAGAAGAAUUGAUUGAAUUUGAAACUAAACUGCUCGACAAAAAUUUUAAGACAAAUGUGGUUAAUAGUCUUAAACGAUUAACAAGGAAAACUUUAACUUCAACAGUAUGCCAAAUGUUAAGAAAAUUAUUUGAUGAUGAAUUACUUAAAGAAUAUAGCUACGUGGGUCAGAAAAAAAAAGAAUAUUUUUUUCUUUGAAAAUA